ACGCACGCUGGCGGCGUGCUUCACCCCUGCAAGUCGCACGGUGAACGAGGGAGCUUGCUCCCUCCGGAUCAGUGGCGAACGGGUGAGUAACACGUGAGCAAUCUGCCCCGAACUCUGGGAUAAGCGUUGGAAACGACGUCUAAUACCGGAUACGACGCGGGAGGGCAUCCUCUCCGCGUGGAAAGAACUUCGGUUCGGGAUGAGCUCGCGGCCUAUCAGCUUGUUGGUGAGGUAACGGCUCACCAAGGCGACGACGGGUAGCCGGCCUGAGAGGGUGACCGGCCACACUGGGACUGAGACACGGCCCAGACUCCUACGGGAGGCAGCAGUGGGGAAUAUUGCACAAUGGGCGCAAGCCUGAUGCAGCAACGCCGCGUGAGGGACGACGGCCUUCGGGUUGUAAACCUCUUUUAGCAGGGAAGAAGCGAAAGUGACGGUACCUGCAGAAAAAGCACCGGCUAACUACGUG
rnacentral:rRNA from 1 species